rnacentral:lncRNA from 1 species
AAUUAUAUGAAACGGUGGUGUUUUUAUAUUUUUAUGUUCAACACCCCCCUUCACGACUGGGCUCGAGACAUUUUAAUAGACCCAAGACGUGGACUUAGUUAAGUGGAAGGAAAUCAAACAAUGCUAGCAAUCUGGUAGGAUUCGAGCUCAGGACCUUUUGUUUUGAUAUGAUGCGAAAUUAUAUGAAACAACCAUUGUUUCCUAAAAGCUCAAGCACAGUCCUCCUAUUGCAUAACAGUGUUUCCAUAUUUUUAUGUUCAACACCCCCCUUCACGACUGGGCUCGAGACAUUUUAAUAGACCCAAGACGUGGACUUAGUUAAGUGGAAGGAAAUCAAACAAUGCUAGCAAUCUGGUAGGAUUCGAGCUCAGGACCUUUUGUUUUGAUAUGAUGCGAAAUUAUAUGAAACAACCAUUGUUUCCUAAAAGCUCAAGCACAGUCCUCCUAUUGCAUAACAGUGUUUCCAUAUUUUUAUG